GCUUAACAAGCAAUUAACCUUUUCGUGGUGUUAAGCAUAAGUAGCUAAAAAUAGUGAAACUAAUAAUUG
rnacentral:ribozyme from 1 species